rnacentral:rRNA from 1 species
GUACACUCCUACGGGAGGCAGCAGUGGGGAAUAUUGGACAAUGGGCGCAAGCCUGAUCCAGCCAUGCCGCGUGAGUGAUGAAGGCCCUAGGGUUGUAAAGCUCUUUCACCGGUGAAGAUAAUGACGGUAACCGGAGAAGAAGCCCCGGCUAACUUCGUGCCAGCCGCCGCGGUAAUACGAAGGGGGCUAGCGUUGUUCGGAUUUACUGGGCGUAAAGCGCACGUAGGCGGACUAUUAAGUCAGGGGUGAAAUCCCGGGGCUCAACCCCGGAACUGCCUUUGAUACUGGUAGUCUUGAGUUCGAGAGAGGUGAGUGGAAUUCCGGGUGUAGAUGUGAAAUUCGUAGAUAUUCGGAGGAACACCAGUGGCGAAGGCGGCUCACUGGCUCGAUACUGACGCUGAGGUGCGAAAGCGUGGGGAGCAAACAGGAUUAGAAACCCGUGUAGUCCCAUG